rnacentral:rRNA from 1 species
UACGGAGGGUGCAAGCGUUAUCCGGAAUCACUGGGUUUAAAGGGUGCGUAGGCGGUCAGAUAAGUCAGUCGUGAAAUUCUCCGGCUUAACCGGGUGGACUGCGAUUGAUACUGUUUGACUUGAAUGAGGUUGAGGUAGGCGGAAUGUGGCAUGUAGCGGUGAAAUGCUUAGAUAUGCCAUAGAACACCGAUUGCGAAGGCAGCUUGCUGGGCCUUCAUUGACGCUGAGGCACGAAAGCGUGGGGAGCAAACAGG